UGUUGUCCGCGAGGGGCCGGGUGAGUGGGGUGCGCAGUGGACGGAGUUCGUCUCGUGGGAGCCCAGGGCGUUCGUCUACCACAAGUUCCUGAUUUCUUAGCAAGAUCAGACAGACAAAAAGAAAGGUUCAGACAAGAUACAACAUGGGUGUCAAGGUGCGCAUAGGUGCAUUCACAAAGAGAAUUCUGAAGCUUCAUGGCGUGCCCCACCAGACCACGUUGUCGACGAGUGCGUCCGUCACCACUCCCUCUGCCAUCAUGGCUCACAUUUUUUGUUCUACAACAGUUGAUGUAGCGUCUUUCAUUGAAUCUUCCACUGUUCAGAUUACCAACACGACUCUUAUGUAAUUAUCAUGGUGCUAAUUCUAUAGUUAUCAGGGUGCUAAUGAUAUAUUUAUCACACUUGCUUAUGGUAAAAUUACCAUGUUGAAUUUUUCAAUGGAGACAUAUAUGUUUUUAACA